rnacentral:misc_RNA from 1 species
UAAUAGCUGCCAAUUAACAUAAAGAAUUACCCCCCUUCUCUUCUUGUGAUAACUCUUAUUUAUACUGGUGUUAGAUCGUUCGUUCUGUUAAUAGUACCCAAGUGACUUAGCACCCGUGAUUCUCUCUAACAGAUUCUCUUCUGGCCAACUAAUUCCAGCUGCAUAAUUCUGGAUCCUUCCUUCCUAUACUUCCUCUGUAAUGCAUCCUCAACAGUUUUGGGCCUGGAUCUCGAUUUUCUGGACUUCUAUCAAAGAUAUUGUUGCCGGACAAUUGUGCUAGACACCUGCAGUCUUGGAUAUAACCUGUGAAGCCUGAAACUCAUCCAUACUCAUUUGAUAUGAUUUUUUGCUCAAACUAAGAUUGUCGUAAAGACAUGAUUGCAUGAGUGAUAGGACAUAUCUCCUUCCUAGUGUUAUACGAUGUUGCAUUACUGCAUGAAUUGUGGUGUUUGCUCUUAUGUACCAGGAGAAGUAAAUGCUAGCUUUUCUUUUCUAGGUUUUAUCUGGUAUACUCGCUACAUUCUAUUGGCACUCAAAUUUCAACAGCUGCUUGAUUUUCAAUUGGUUAAGACAUCUAUAAGUCUCUUGUUUCCCUUUUGAGGACAAGCAGAAUCUGUUUCUUCAAUAGUUGAUUCGGUAAUCCAUUAAGAAUAUCUUUGUGGUGGUUGGCUCACUAUAAAUUUUUUGGGGAAUCCAUGGGCCUUUUAAUGGCCCUUGGAUGUGCAUUUAUGUCAUUCAUGUCCGAGGGAAUUGUUCACCUUGUUUCUUCCCUGUAGUCAGCUAAUGCACAUGAUCUGCUGACAAACAAGGAUGCUUCUCUUUAACAGGUUUCCCUUUUUCUGUCUUAAUAGUGGAAGCAAGAUAAUUUAUUAUCUGUGAUAUUGUCGUGUUCCAUUUCUAUGGAGAUGUUCUGGGGAAUUUUCCACGCUCCUUAUAGUAGGAGAAGGAUAUCUUUGUGUUUUAUUUCUCAAUAAAUUUGAUACGUUUUCCUUGUUUCCUUUUUUAUUCUUUAAAGUACAUUUUGGCCUAUGGAUUUAACCUUGGCUGUUGGAAAGAAGCCAGGCAAAUGGUUUUGGGAAGAUUGGAAAAUUAAGGUUACCCUUUGGUUUGGUCUUCUGCGUAUCAAGUGGACAACUUUUAGAGUCUUUUUAUUUUUGCUGCAGUGGAUGUCUUAUUGCAUUUCAGAUGCAGUAUGUAACUAUAUAUGCUUAACCCACCAAAUAGCAAACAGAUGGACCUUCUUACCUGUAGUUUAUUUUUAGUGAGGUAUUGCAUGGCCAUAUUCUUUCACAAGCUUCUGCAUCAGAUUUGGCCUAUCUAAUAUUUAUCCAUGAUGCAGGAUGGCCAUCCACCAUUGGGCUGGCAUGACACUGCAGCUUACCUGGUUUUACCUGUCCUCCUUGUUGUUUCUCAAUAUGUGUCAAUGGAGAUCAUGAAACCUCCC